rnacentral:lncRNA from 1 species
GUUGGAAAUAAAAUUAAAAUAAACUUGAUUUUGUAAUAAUUUGGGCUUAAGAAAUUAUGAAAAAUAAAGAGCCCAAUUCCGGAACAUUCUAGGCAACUCUAGAUUCCGGAACGUUCUAGAGAACUCUAGUCCANNNNAAUUCUCCAUAGAAUUCUAGCACAUGUACCUAGCUAGAAAGUAGUAGAACUCUCUAGACUCUCUAGAAUUCUCCAUAGAAUUCUAGCACAUGUACAAAGCUAGGAAGUGGUAGGACUCUCUAGACACUCAAGAGCUUGGCAAGCCUCCCCUAUAAAUAUGGGAUGGUAUUUGGCAUUUGUAUAACACACAACACACAACAUAUCAAGCCAAAAGAAUCAAAAACA